rnacentral:sRNA from 1 species
AAAAAGAAUAGUGACACUAUAUUUGGAGUAUCACUAUUCAAUACUCUAAAUUUGAAGUUUCAUCUUUUUAUUUGCAUUUAAGUCCCUAAAAUUCAAUGUUUCAUAAAUAAUCGUACAAAUUACUAUGUUUAUCAUUUGAGAAUAUUACGUAAUUAGACACUUUUUGGAAACUUAAUGCCGAUUAAGGCACUUUAAAAAGAUUGGGCACUUUUCUAAGCCAAAUUGUCCAAUUUGCCCUUCUAACUAUAACUUCCUCUCGUGAUAAUAUUUUUUGACUUAUAUCUCUCAUUCUUCUCUCUCUUCUCUUUCUUUUUUCUCACUUUAUCGAAAAAUAAACAAAAUCAAGCAGAACAAAAAAACAACUUUUCUCAUUAUUUUGCUAUUUCUUUAUCUUCUCAUCACAAGUCAAUUCACCAAUUCGUUCUCCUAUUUUGAUCUUCUCGAAUUCCUAUGGUUUCAUUGGAAUCUGAGAUUCAGUUUCGGCUAAUUGAAUGUACUCGCUUCAUUAGUCAAGUUUUGGCACUGGUGGAGUACAAAAACGGCAGGUGUGUAAAUGACGAAAGCGAGUACAUUUAACGACAGAAGAAACAGCCAGUGAUUCGCGACAGGAGAUUUGGGUCUAGAUCUAAAAGUCAUUACUUUAUUCGAUGUCUCUUCUUAGUUGUUUCUCCAACGGAUUUGUUAUGGUUUCUUGCGACGGUUGUCUUUUAUAUGGUGAUGAAGUGUCUGUUGGUUGGUGGAGGCGAUCGAGUUGUUGGUGGCGACUGAGAGAGCGUUAUGACUUAUUCAUCAUCUUGUUCUAUAUAUGUAUAACUUAUGUGUUGGUAUAAACAACCAUAUGGAUUGCACAUCUUGGACACACAUCAAUGGACAAUGUUGCAUUUGUUUACCAUUAAUGUGUCAUCGCUGGAUAUGGAUCCAUUAUAUAAUUAUGAUAAUGUCCAUACUCUAUACACAAGUGAAUAUUGGUCAAAGAAAAAUGGACGGUGUAUUUCUGUUGAGAUUGAGUUCUUGAUUAAAUAUGUAAGAUAAAAUGCUUCAAUGAGAACAUGAAUAAGAAGAAGAAGCUCAAGCAAAAGAAGAAUAUGCAUGGGAGAAGAUGAAAUAAUAAGUGAUUGGGCUA